CUGUUCUCCAGUUUAUGAGAGUGGGAAAGACGUGUCAGCCUUCAAUGUGAGAUAAGUACCUCUCCAAAGGUCAACGGUUGCCAUUUUAUUCAUUUUGACCUUGAAAAGUCUUUAAAUGGAAACGAUGGGGAAAAAGCUGAAACAAAAACUGAGAUAUGGAUCUUCUAGGAACAUGGAAGACAAGAGGUUCUUGGAAAAUGGAAGCAUCUUUCUAAAAUAACUUAUCGCCCAUUGCAACGGUAAAUCAGUUCCUAAAUGCAGUUUUUCUUCUUAUCAGAUCCUUGAAGCCACCAAUAACUUCAAUUCCAGUUGUCUUAUCACUUAUGAGAGGAGCCAUAAUUGGUAUAAAGGUAUCAUCCAAGACAAGUCUUACUUGAUCAAAAGAUUCUUGAAGUAUAAAAUUACAGGAGAAAGAAUGGGCGAGGUUUACAAUGACAUUGUCUUGUCUGCUAAGAUGAGUAACCACAACAACUUUCUUAGACUAUCUGGAUGCUGUCUCGAGUUUAAUCUUCCGGUUAUCCUGUUUGAAAAUGCCGAUCAUGGGGUUCUGAAUGAUCGAGGAGUUUAAACUAUAUUGCCAUGUAGUUUAAGGUUGAAGAUUGUCAAAGAGAUUGCAAAUGCUGUGACUUAUCUUCACAUGGCCUUCCCUAAGAUCAUCAUGCAUAGAGUUAUUAUGCCAAGAAACAUUGUCUUGGACAGGAACUUGACCAAUUAGGAUAAGGAUAUAUUCCAUAUUUGUAGCUAUCGUAUAUUUACAUAUUCUGUGAUCCUCUUGUAUAUAUACCGAACCUUGUGAAUGAAUACAAUCAAGCUUUCCUAAA